CGGGGAGGGGCGGGCACGGUGCAGCGCCGCCUCCCGUUCGCCUCUGCGCCUGGCCCGGCGACUGCGGGCGCUGCGGUCCACUGGGUCCGCCUCUUCCCGGCAUGGGUUUCUGCCCAGCUCACCCGCUGUCAGCUGGGGUCCUGCUCUGGUGGGAGGAAGAGGCUCAGACGCUUCCCUGCCCUCUCGCCUCAACCACCUCGAGGCAGCGGCUCCCAGGAUGUGCACUUUGACGACUAAAGCUGAGCCGGCGCCGCCACGACCUUGGGCGGGUGGUCGGCCUCUGCCCUGAGCAGGAAGUAGAAAGUCUCAGCAGACCCUUCCUGAGGGCCGAGCAACAGUGUAGUGGCGUAUUCCACAUAGCAAACAGAUGUACACUAGAUUUUGAUGGCAUUUUUCCAGGGACCCUGGGAGCAUCUGUGUUCUCGUGUUCUUCUUGCCUGUGAGGCCUCUUCUCUCUGAGGACAGAUGGUAGGACAGAGAGAAGACAGCAAAUGGAAAACAAAGGCUGCUAUUUUUUUGUGGGGCAGCAUUUCUUCCUGUGACAAUAUGGUGUAAGACAAAAUUGUGGCCUGCCAUGAAGUUGUGAGAGAAAAGCAUCCCUCAUUUCUUCAGGAAAGGCCACUGCCGUUCCCUCCGGCUCCUCUUCUCAGGAGUUUGUGCAUUCAUGAGGUGAAUUCCUUGGAAGAUGAGGGCCAAGUCUUAUUCUUCUCAGUCUCUUCUGCAUCUAGCAGAAGAAUAAUGGUUGCACAGAAAAUCUUGGUUCAGUGGUUGAGUGAAUGAAUGGAUGAACAGGCUCUUGCACACAAAGAAGAGACAUGAUGUAUUUGCAUCCUUCCCUGCUUCAGCCAGUUUUCUGAAGCUCAGAGGGACACCUUGUAUUGCUGGAUGAUAAAAACAGGAGCAAAGUGAUGAAGUGCUGACAAGGCAACAAUAGAACAUGAGAGAUUCACUGCUGUGUAGGAAGAGAUCUUCGGUGACCAUGUAGCCUGAAGCUCUCAUUUUGUCAUCGAGGGACACCAAAACUCAGAACAGCAGCAGCUCACGCUGCUGAUGCAACACAGGUGAAGAGCACCUUCCCCUCCCCCACCUGUGGGCUGAUUCCCACCACGUGGAUCCCAAGGCCAUCCCAGGAACUCUUUGGAGGGGAGAAGCCCAGUGGAAACUGUCAGGCCUCUGAGCACAAGCCAAGCCAUCGCAUCCCCUGUGACUUGCACGUAUAUGCCCAGAUGGCCUGAAGUAACUGAAGAAUCACAAAAGAAGUGAAAAGGCCCUGCCCCACCUUAACUGAUGACAUUCCACCAUUGUGAUUUGUUCCUGCCCCACCUUCACUGAGUGAUUAACCCUGUGAAUUUCCUUCUCCUGGCUCAGAAGCUCCCCCACUGAGCACCUUGUGACCCCCGCCCCUGCCCACCAGAGAACAACCCCCUUUGACUGUAAUUUUCCAUUACCUUCCCAAAUCCUAUAAAACGGCCCCACCCCUAUCUCCCUUCGCUGACUCUCUUUUCGGACUCAGCCCGCCUGCACCCAGGUGAAAUAAACAGCCAUGUUGCUCACA
rnacentral:lncRNA from 1 species